rnacentral:rRNA from 1 species
AUUGAACGCUGGCGGCAUGCCUUACACAUGCAAGUCGAACGGCAGCACGGGUGCUUGCACCUGGUGGCGAGUGGCGAACGGGUGAGUAAUACAUCGGAACAUGUCCUGUAGUGGGGGAUAGCCCGGCGAAAGCCGGAUUAAUACCGCAUACGAUCUACGGAUGAAAGCGGGGGACCUUCGGGCCUCGCGCUAUAGGGUUGGCCGAUGGCUGAUUAGCUAGUUGGUGGGGUAAAGGCCUACCAAGGCGACGAUCAGUAGCUGGUCUGAGAGGACGACCAGCCACACUGGGAAUGAGACACGGCCCAGACUCCUACGGGAGGCAGCAGUGGGGAAUUUUGGACAAUGGGCGAAAGCCUGAUCCAGCAAUGCCGCGUGUGUGAAGAAGGCCUUCGGGUUGUAAAGCACUUUUGUCCGGAAAGAAAUCCUUGGCCCUAAUACGGUCGGGGGAUGACGGUACCGGAAGAAUAAGCACCGGCUAACUACGUGC